GUGCUUAAUGGGUUAACUGGCCUAUCUGCCCAUGUGUCUAUUUAACCCAUUGAGUCGCAUUGCGCCCUGAUGCACCAUACUUUAUUAUUUUACUCUUUCUAAUGCCAGACGAUUUCCCUCGUCAAGAGGAGAGUGGUUGGGUUAACAAGAUUGAUUUAAAAUGUCAGAAGCCCUGGGGGUGGGCACUUUUGGAUGCAUAAUAUUAUUGUGAUGAUAUCAUUCCAACUCUUCAUCAUCCUCAAAACCUUUGAAGUCUUUUCCACCAAAAGCUUGUCUUAUGGCAUGAUAAGCACAUGUUGGUAAAGGUAUUCUUCUCUUUCCCAAGUAUCCAUAAACCAAUUGUAUAUACUAUAUACUCUCUAUAGGCAACACUUCGGAAAUACCUAUAAUAUAAGAAACUUUUCAUGUAAUAUUUGUAAUGGUUUUAUAUAAAUGAAAUUUUCUGAUUGAUAACAAAUUGUGGGGAUUUAUCAGGCUUAAAAAUGGCUAUAUUAUAUUGUUUAAUAAAUAUAUAUAUUAUUACAUAUAUGAGUCUUGCCUGUUUUCAUCACCUUCCACGUUAUACUUCCUGCCAUCUAUUUUUCGAAAUUUACGCCCUGCCAGACGCAAUGACCAGGAUGAUAAACAGACCGAACCAAAGCCUGGAUGAAGCGUUAUGCAUGCAAUUUGGCUCAGCACCUACUUCUUGUAAAACAAGUUCUGUCCCUAACGCUUCUAAGCAGCCUUCGAUUUCUUGGCAGCAUUGAGCCUCUCUCUCAUUUACCAGUAAAUCGACUUUACAUAGUUCGCAUGUACACCUGAAAUAAAAAGGAACACCUUAUAAUAUUCAUUGUGAUUUGUCAAACGAAAAAGGAAAAUAUUUUUACACGAGUGUCAACACUAGCCUGCGUACGCCGUAGCGUCUACACAAAAUGUAAACACGAGCUCUGUCUCUGAGUCUGAGUCUGAGCUCACAUAUAGUAUACAUUUCACCUACCAAUUUGAUACGGGGAUGGUUCCGUUCAAGCGAGACAUAAGCAGCUGUCGUCUCUCUUCUUCGGCACGUCUCUCUUCGUUGUAUUGAGCUAUCCAAGCUGGAUCAGCAAUCGGUUCGUCUUGGUAAGGUUGUCAGCCUGGCCACUGGUCUUCAUCGCUUUGUGUUGAGCUGUCUGUGGGAGGCUGAACUGCAUCAUCUUCGAUUUCCAUUAUAUAAUUUGGUAAAAAAAUCAUAUCCGAAUCAAGUUGGCUGUCCGUAUUGUCGGAAAAACUUGACGACAUUGUUUAAACGAAAAGUUAACCCAAAAUGUUAUUAAGCGGAAAAAUUGGACGAUAUUUUGGACUAAAAUUCUAUACUGUUUUAUUAUGAUGAUACUUGGCAAGAUUAGCGUUUUCUCAUUCUUACGUCACUUCCGGCGGUUAACGCCGAUUAGUUACCAGUAUUUUCAAGCUCGCGGCAAUUCGAAAAAUCACCAACUUUGAGGCCCAAAAAGUCCAUGAAGAUCAAAUUUUCGUCUAGUCAAAUAUAUUGCAAAUGUUCUUAAAAUCGUCUAAACUAUCAGUAAAAGGCAUUUCCCUGACCCUGAUAUAGGCACUUUAACAAACAAUAAAAUAAUGUAAGAAUUAUUUAGAAAAAUCUUAAAUCGCGGUACCGUUACGCUUUUGAGUUGUGCUCCUGCUGGCUUUAAGUUAUAUUUAUGAAAAUAUCAUUUUUAUACAGCAAAAUAGUUGUUCUAAAAAAUUGUGUUCGG
rnacentral:lncRNA from 1 species